GAUAUAGCAUCACAUGACUGGACGCGAACCGAUUGAGCCUUAUCUCCUACUCUGGUGUAGAGUAAAUAUACGGCCAGCCUCGUGAUCGUGUGUCAUUCACUGACGCUUCAGCUACCUACUGUUUGUUUUGUGACCAACUUCAAUAAGAUUAAAAAGGAAUCUCCAAUUCGAAGAAUAGAUGAUAGCUUGCGGCGAAGAGCUAUUGGUUAUCCCAGUGUGUCAACAUAGAUUAUUGAAAAAAAAAACUGUUUGUUUCAAUUUCUGAAGGACUUAUUCUGAAGGAUUCUGAGAAAUUAAAUAAAACUAUUAAGUUAUUAUGUACCAAAAA